rnacentral:tRNA from 1 species
GGCCCGUUCGUCUAGGGGUUAGGACGUGGCCCUCUCAAGGCCAAAACACGAGUUCAAAUCUCGUACGGGCUACCA